rnacentral:rRNA from 1 species
ACACUCCUACGGGAGGCAGCAGUGGGGAAUUUUGGACAAUGGGCGAAAGCCUGAUCCAGCAAUGCCGCGUGAGUGAAGAAGGCCUUCGGGUUGUAAAGCUCUUUUGUCAGGGAAGAAACGGUGAAAGCUAAUAUCUUUUGCUAAUGACGGUACCUGAAGAAUAAGCACCGGCUAACUACGUGCCAGCAGCCGCGGUAAUACGUAGGGUGCAAGCGUUAAUCGGAAUUACUGGGCGUAAAGCGUGCGCAGGCGGUUUUGUAAGUCUGAUGUGAAAGCCCCGGGCUCAACCUGGGAAUUGCAUUGGAGACUGCAAGGCUAGAAUCUGGCAGAGGGGGGUAGAAUUCCACGUGUAGCAGUGAAAUGCGUAGAUAUGUGGAGGAACACCGAUGGCGAAGGCAGCCCCCUGGGUCAAGAUUGACGCUCAUGCACGAAAGCGUGGGGAGCAAACAGGAUUAGAAACCCGUGUAGUCCCAUGA